rnacentral:rRNA from 1 species
AUUGAACGCUGGCGGCAUGCUUUACACAUGCAAGUCGAACGGUAACAGGGUGCUUGCACCGCUGACGAGUGGCGAACGGGUGAGUAAUGCGUCGGAACGUGCCGAGUAGUGGGGGAUAACGCAGCGAAAGUUGUGCUAAUACCGCAUACGUACUGAGGUAGAAGGUGGGGGACCUUCGGGCCUCACGCUAUUCGAGCGGCCGGCGUCUGAUUAGCUAGUAGGUGAGGUAAAGGCUCACCUAGGCGACGACCAGUAGCGGGUCUGAGAGGAUGAUCCGCCACACUGGGACUGAGACACGGCCCAGACUCCUACGGGAGGCAGCAGUGGGGAAUUUUGGACAAUGGGCGAAAGCCUGAUCCAGCCAUGCCGCGUGUCUGAAGAAGGCCUUCGGGUUGUAAAGGACUUUUGUCAGGGAGGAAAUCCCUAGUGCUAAUAACACUGGGGGAUGACAGUACCUGAAGAAUAAGCACCGGCUAACUACGUGCCAGCAGCCGCCGUAA